rnacentral:sRNA from 1 species
UUGCCCUAGUAACGGCGAGUGAAGCGGCAACAGCUCAAAUUUGAAAUCUGGCUGUCUUUGGCAGUCCGAGUUGUAAUUUGCAGAGGGUGCUUUGGUGUUGGCAGCGGUCUAAGUUCCUUGGAACAGGACGUCACAGAGGGUGAGAAUCCCGUACGUGGUCGCCUGCCUUCGCCGUGUAAAGCCCCUUCGACGAGUCGAGUUGUUUGGGAAUGCAGCUCUAAAUGGGAGGUAAAUUUCUUCUAAAGCUAAAUACUGGCCAGAGACCGAUAGCGCACAAGUAGAGUGAUCGAAAGAUGAAAAGCACUUUGGAAAGAGAGUCAAACAGCACGUGAAAUUGUUGAAAGGGAAGCGCUUGCCGCCAGACGUGCCCGCGGUUGUUCUCUUCCGUGGGCAGGCCAGCAUCAGUUUGGGCGGUCGGAUAAAGGCCUCUGUCACGUAUCACCCUUCGGGGUGACCUUAUAGGGGAGGUGUAAUGCGACCAGCCUGGACUGAGGUCCGCGCAUCUGCUAGGAUGCUGGCGUAAUGGCUGUAAGCGGCCCGUCUUGAAACACGGACCAAGGAGUCUAACAUCUAUGCGAGUGUUUGGGUGUCAAGCCCGAGCGCGU